rnacentral:rRNA from 1 species
AAGGAAGACUUAAUAAAAUCAGCAAUUGAGGCCCUACCGGUGUAUGCCAUGGGAAUUUUUAAAUUUUCGGUUUCUCUUUGUGAGGAAUUAUCCUAGAUUAUAAGGAACUUUUGGUGGGGAGAUGAGGAAGAUAGAAGGAAAACACAUUGGCUGGCAUGGGACAAAUUAACAAGGCCUAAAGUUAAGGGCGAUAUGGGAUUUUGUGAUCUCAGACUUUUUAAUCAGGCUCUUUUGGCAAAAUAGGUGUGGCGCUUAUUGAUUUGUCCGGACUCGUUGUGUGUGAAGUUAAUGAAGGCAAAAUAUUAUCCUCAAGGACAUAUGUCUGAUACAGUGUUUCCACAUUUUUCAUCAGUAACUUGGCAAGGUAUUGUGCGAGGUUGGGAUCUUUUAGUGAAAUCAACAAUGUAUAUACCACCUCCUACGGAUGCCGGUAAAGGCCAUAUUAUGAUUAUCUCGAUGAAACACUUGGCAAUCACUUUGGUAAAUAGAAUAUUGAAACCAAAGUCGGCUAGUGUAGAUACUGAAAUAAGAUUGUAA